rnacentral:rRNA from 1 species
UAGUUCCUACGGGACGCAGCAGUGGGGAAUAUUGCACAAUGGGCGAAAGCCUGAUGCAGCGACGCCGCGUGAAGGAUGAAGUAUUUCGGUAUGUAAACUUCUAUCAGCAGGGAAGAAAAUGACGGUACCUGACUAAGAAGCCCCGGCUAACUACGUGCCAGCAGCCGCGGUAAUACGUAUGGAGCAAGCGUUAUCCGGAUUUACUGGGUGUAAAGGGAGCGCAGGCGGUCUGGCAAGUCUGAUGUGAAAUACCGGGGCUCAACUCCGGGACUGCAUUGGAAACUGUCAGACUGGAGUGUCGGAGG